CUUUCUACACAGGUUGGGAUCAGUUGCAAUGCUGUGUGUGACUGUGGUAUUGCACUUGUCCCGGCCUGUUGAGGUUGG
rnacentral:pre_miRNA from 1 species